GUUGCAUGAGAAAAGGUUUCACAGAGCCACAUGGUUGCUUCUGAUACUGGGCAGAGACUGAGCUGCUUCACUGAACACCGGCUCUGAUUCUCAGAUCGCUGCAAGACAAACAACCCAAAAGUCAGUGGGAUCACCAGAGAGGGAGAGAGAAGGAAAAAGGGGAAAAUAAAACGAUGCUGUGAUUUCCCUGGGAGCAGACAUUGCAGAGGUGACUGAGCCACCCAUGGGACUGCUGGGCUUUUGUCAAGUUUCUAGCCAACAUCACAAGGCAACGCCAAGGACUGGAGGGCCUGUUAAAAACCACAAGUCCAUCAUGCAGACUUGCCAGCCAUGUCGCCUUUGAAGCAGCCCUUGUCAUUCAGCAGCCUCUCCAGUAAGGAUACGAUACGAUACGA
ensembl:lncRNA